rnacentral:rRNA from 1 species
GUAGGUGGCAAGCGUUGUCCGGAAUUAUUGGGCGUAAAGCGCGCGCAGGCGGUCCUUUAAGUCUGAUGUGAAAGCCCACGGCUCAACCGUGGAGGGUCAUUGGAAACUGGGGGACUUGAGUACAGAAGAGGAAAGCGGAAUUCCAAGUGUAGCGGUGAAAUGCGUAGAGAUUUGGAGGAACACCAGUGGCGAAGGCGGCUUUCUGGACUGUAACUGACGCUGAGGCGCGAAAGCGUGGGGAGCAAACAGGAUUAGAUACCCUGGUAGUCCACGCCGUAAACGAUGAGUGCUAAGUGUUAGGGGGUUUCCGCCCCCUUAGUGCUGCAGCUAACGCAUUAAGCACUCCGCCUGGGGAGUACGGCCGCAAGGCUG